rnacentral:rRNA from 1 species
CCUACGGGGGGCAGCAGUGGGGGAUAUUGCACAAUGGGGGAAACCCUGAUGCAGCGACGCCGCGUGGGUGAAGAAGUAUUUCGGUAUGUAAAGCCCUAUCAGCAGGGAAGAAAGAAGACGGUACCUGACUAAGAAGCCCCGGCUAACUACGUGCCAGCAGCCGCGGUAAUACGUAGGGGGCGAGCGUUAUCCGGAUUCACUGGGUGUAAAGGGAGCGUAGACGGCCGUGCAAGCCAGGAGUGAAAGCCCGGGGCCCAACCCCGGGACUGCUCUUGGAACUGUGCGGCUGGAGUGCGGGAGGGGCAGGCGGAAUUCCUAGUGUAGCGGUGAAAUGCGUAGAUAUCAGGAGGAACACCGGCGGCGAAGGCGGCCUGCUGGACCGCGACUGACGUUGAGGCUCGAAAGCGUGGGGAGCGAACAGGAUUAGAUACCCGAGUAGUC